AACUUUGGACAUGCAUGAGGUGAGUAUGCAUGUAAAUCUGUCUCAAUAUUAACUGAUAGGGCAACUAAUGUGACCGUUUUGUUUUGCAGGCAGUGGCUGUUAAAAAGAUAGAUGACUGUAACAAAUAAUGUGUGAGAACAAGGAGCCAAAAAUAUUGGAAAACGACCAUAAGAUAGAUAGCGGAUUCAGUGAUUUGGUUAUUAUGGAGGUUGAUGGAACUUGGUCUACUGUUGGAAUUCAGAGCCAUAAAGCAUUGGACUUGGACAAGAGCUCUUCCAUGGCAGCAACCAGCAGUCCAAGGCCAAGCUUCUCUUCUCCAUGGAUGAAUCUCAACUGGAAGCAGCAAGCUAUCUCAAGGGAGGGGAUUCUCAAGUCACCCCACUUCCAAUCCAUGGACGCUAUCCACAAGGACCAAGAUGACAACGACCAGGAAGGAAGGAGCCCACGCCCGACCCCGACGACGGCGGUUCCAUUUGUGUGCCGGCGUCGACCACAACCUCCCUCUCUAAAAUUAUCUUGUGCUUUAUUUUAAUUGAAAGAAGUUCAUUCUCAACUCACUCUGCUUAUAUCAUAAUUCAGCACCGACUCUUUCAGUCUUUCCUGCCUCCUAGCAUGCUUUUACUCUGCAUCUGCUACGUGGUAGUUAUUGUUACUGUAAAAUAUGUUUGAAGCCAGUAACUGAUUACACUUUUAGUCCCAUAUUCUCAAGGACUUCCAAGAAGUUGAGGUUCUGAAUAGGUUAUUAGUAUCUAACCAUGUUGAUAGCAAUUAGCUUUGUCCACUUACUGAGCUGUCCUUUUAGUGUUCUGAAGAUAUACUUGAGUUUUAUUUGUUAUACAAGGCCUCCCAAAAAUCUAACUUUCCUUGACAGACAUAUCUCUCUCUCUCUCUCCCUCUCCCUCCCUCUCUCUCUCUCUCUCCAUCUACAUAUAUCACACCAGUUGUUCCAGGUAGAGUAGUAGUGGCCACAAAAUUUUACUGAAAUAAUCAUGCGAGAUUACCAGCAAACAAAAUUCUCAUAGUAGGAUAGAAUGUGGGUAUAUAUAUUAUAAUAUUGGUGUCAGAUAUGUUUACUCAGAUGAUCCAAGAAUUGAAUAAACCACUCGAAUAAAAUACCUCUCUGUUCGCUUUAAAAAUUCUACAGUCAACAUGCUAAUAUUAUUUGCAUCUACAUAACGGCUUGCAGAACAGCGGGGGGCGUCUGAGCCUGCAGUCGGAGUAGCAGCUGAUGUAGCAUUUGCAGAACACCGACACGGCGUCAGCCACCUGCAGCUGCUGGGCAGACAGCAGGAUGGCAAGGAGCACGCAGACAGCCACAACCUUCACUCUCUCCUUCUUCCCAGUCCCCUCCAUUGAUAAUGGAUUCUUCCUCUUGCCUGUGACAACUUUUGUUGGGUUGACGACCCCUCUUUAUACCGAAGGCAAGCUUCUAGUGCUGCACACGCUAUUGAUUCUUGAAGAAGCAUCUGCGAUUCUAGGAGAAGCUUUAAUUUCUCUCCAGAGAUGAGCUUGAUUAUCUAAGAAGCUUUUCCUUUUGCAGAGAUGAUCGUACUUAUGGAAACUCAGAUGCCUUGCACUGCUGCCGGAUCAAGGAUGGAGUGAACUAAAACACUUUGCUAUUACAACUAGCCCUCCCUGUUCCAUGAAUCGACAGGGGAAGAAUUGGCAAUGCUAAAUUGGUGAGAAGAGAGCAAGAGGAAGAUGAUGAGUUGACAUGGAAAAGCGACUUGCGAUAUGUUCAGCGGAUCACCAUGUCAAGGAAUGAGCAGUUAAAUAAGAGUCUUUUCGACAAAAGUAAGAGGGAGUAUUUCAUAACUGAACAUGUUUUAUGUACAAUCUGUUACUGACUGGCAUUGUGAAAAACGCAGAGUGUCAUCAGAAAAAUGAAGCCUGAGGACGCUAUCAGCCUUUCCUGUCAAGUAUUGGCCACUACUAUCUGCAUUAGCUUCACCUCAGAACAUGCCCUUUUUCACUUGGAGAGAGGAAGUAGGAGUUCUCAGUGAUGAUCAUCUACAAGAUAUCAUACAUGUUUGUUGAUUGACUAACAAAGACAAAGGCCGUACCGUUAUUGAUGUUUCUAUAGCAUUGUUUCCAGCUGCUGUAACACCUGUUUUUACACUUGCGAGUAUGAACUAUUUGGCUAUAUUUUAUAGAACUUAUGUACCGAUGUAGAAUGGUAUAUCAUGCUUUUAUACUUUAUGAUAUACCUUUUCGUUGUAGUAUUUUGGAAAGUUGCAAUGCUCAACAUUUGUAUAGACUUCUAUCAUAAUGAUCCUCUCCUUGCCAGUUGGCAAUGAUUUUUUUU